ACCCUGCUCCCCGGCGCGUACCCAGGGGCCACGAUUUUGGCUGGGCGAAAGCGGCCCGCUCCCGCCUCUCCUUGAGUGCGCUGAUUACAUCUACCGGAGACACCUUCCCUUCCCUUGGGGAUCCCAACUCUCAGCUCUUCAGAAAGCAAUGACAAGGCAUCUGACUCAUCCUCCUGCACCUCUUUUCAAUUACUGACUUAAACCAGGUGAUCUAGAAACUCCAGUCCCUCUUCUUCCUGCCGAUCGCUGCAGCAACCUACUGAGCCGGCCAGAGAACCUUUGCCUUCAUAGUUAUACGAACAAACGUAGUCUUCACAAUGUUUAUGCUCCUCAUCUUGUCCACACAAAUACACCUUCUGUAUCAAAAAAGAGCACAUUUUAUUAUUUUUUAAAAAACACCUAAACAUAUUAGCAGAAAAAUGAUGUCUUUGAUUUACCUUUUACUGUUUAAUUUUUAAUCAGAGUGUGUCCUCUAAUGGAUUCCUAUAUAUAAAAAAUGCACAGGAUUGGUCUGUAUUAUAGUCACUCUUAAAAUAUAGCAAAUAAAUAAAUGCUUCUAGUGAGCACAUUUAAAAAAUUAAGACUACGCAUAUAUCACGCAACACAUUUAUAAUUUCCCAUUUGAACACAAAACAUGUAUAUUUGAAAUUUACCUUUGUAGCUUCUUCACGUAUUUGAGGAAAACCAAUAUAGGCUAUGAUUCCUAUGUUUAUACACUACUAUAUAACUGUGAUAGUGUAAUAUAUUAAACUGGCUAAUAUCAAACCUAUACUGAUUAAUCUGAACAUAAAACAAAACAAGGAACUAAAACUCAAAAUAAAAGCUCAACAAUUUAUCUGGUUGAUUUUGAUAGCCAGGACUUCAUAACCACACAAAGAACUCAAGCACACUGAGAAAUGUUUAUAAUUUAUGAUCCAUUCAUUCCUGUAUAAUAAAUAUUUCACUCCAGCUGGUUUUCCUGUUAAUUUCUAGGGAAGAGGCUAUGAACCUUUUAUCCUUUGUAAACACAUCUACAUAUGGCACUCCUAGAUAAAGUUUUGUAAACUGUAUUUUCAAAGGUGAAUUUUCAAAGAUCAUUUUUAUCUUUGGGUUUAAACCAGACAUCCACAUCUAUGAUAAUCCAACAGGUAAAAGAUGUUGAAUUCCAGGUAUAUGAGGAGUAAAACUUUUGGGAAAUUCUGAUUUAUAACUAGCAUUUAACUUCCAUGUAAUAUGACCUCAAAGACAGUGGAACUUACUUCGCCAAGCCGAGGUUGGGUGAAACUCUGCCAGUCCGUGUACGCAUAUCUGCCAGUAUCUCCCUGCCCCACUCCCUUGACGGACUCCAAGGUCUGAUGUCCACCUCCUUUGUUGGAAUCCAAAGUGUAGCCUCCUUUGACCAUCUCAAAACUUUGCUGUGUUUUGAUUCCCUGGCCACCAACAGUACCAACAGACAUGCUUGUGUCACAAAUGUUGGAUGUCUGCAUGGGGAGUCUAAUAUUUGCUUCCUAAAAGUAAAGUGAGAGUGAUAAAGUGAAUUUGAAAAAUGGAAACUAACAAUUCAUUUUCAUUUUUUUUCACCAUAGGCAAAUCACUUGCCUGCUGUGCCUCUCUGUUCCUCAUACAUAAAAUCAGAAUAAUAGUAUCAUAGGUGUGAUGGGUUGAAUUGAGUCCCCUAAAAAUUCAUAUGCCCUAACCCUCAGUAACUCAGAAUGUGAACUUAUUUGGAAAUAGGGUCAUUGUAGAUGUAAUUAGCUAAGAUGAGGUUAUAUGGGAUUAGAGUGGGUCCCUAAGCGAAUAUAAUCAGUAUCCUUAUAAAAAGGGGAAAUUUGGACACAGACAUGCACACAUGGAGAAUCGCCAUAUGAAGAUUUGAUUUCCACUGCCAUAAGCCAGGGAAUUGGCAGAAGCUAGGAGAGAGUCCUGGAACAGAUCCCUCCCCAGUUCCUUCAGAGGGAGCACGGACCUGCCAACACCUUGAUCUCUGAUUUCUAGUCUCCAGAUCUGUGAAACAAUACUUGUCUGUUGUUUAAGUCACUCAGUUUGUUGUGACAGCCCUAGCCCUGUAGAAUUGGGAGGUUUAAAUGAUUUAAAACACUGAGGGCACUUGAAACUCUGCUUAGCAUAGUAAGUGCUCAAUAAACAUUAGUGAUAUUAUCAUUGACAUUGUUGAGUAAUAAUCUGUCAUCAUUUGUUCACCGUACAAUUCAAAGGGAUGUGAAAUCUGAUUUACCGUUACUUCUUCUCCAGGUCCUUCAGUAUUUGAUACAAUUAAAUUUUGCUGGGCUAUGUCUUCUGGAAAACAUUUCUUGACUGUUCUCUUAGCAGUGACACAGAAACAUGUAAACAGAAUACCUAAAAAGCAAAAAAGAUCAAAGUAAAACACAGACAUUAAAUCAUUUGAUUACAUGAUUUUUUAAAGUCUUCUUGCAUAUGUCUCAAAAAAUUCAUUCCACAAAUUGAGCUCUUCAGGUCACAAGAUUUAAAAACAGAAUAUUUUAAAAAUGUAUUUAUACUAUUUGUAGCUUAGAGAGAUUAAUAAUAGCUCUCUUCCCAGGUCCAGAAUUAACUUAUAUGUGUCUUUUAUUUCUUCUACAUUGAAAUGGUAACUUCAUCUAACUGAUAUUUAAGAUAGCAUCAUUAGUAGUUAAAAUCAUACAGAACACACUUAAAGGGCUUAAAAUAACAAGACUAAGAACAUUAGGCAUAAAUACAAACAAGAAAGGCAAUUACAUAAAAUUGGUGUCUGGUUUCAAAAAUGUACAUCAACUAAUAAAGUGCUAAGAGGAAUAUCCAAUUUAAUCUGAAACUCAAAUCAAUGAAUUAGGAUACAGUAAAGAUUAUAGGAAAAGUUUGUAAAUGCAAAUGGGUUCUUUGGGGUCAGAGGGAGAGAGAAAGAAAAAGAAAAGGAAAAGAAGAGAGAAACAGAAAGAAAGAAAGAGAAAAAGGCAGUCUUAAUUAAGCGUGGGCAAUAUUUCUAUUACUUUUGUACCUCCAAAUAACAGUUUGCACAAUGCAAAAUCUUAGCAUCCUUUGCCUGUAUUGCUUUUCCUCAGUGGCUCAUAUGACCAUUUUUCACUCACGGAAGUCUUACGAUGAUGCUAAAUCACUUCAUUAAUAAUAUGGAACAGAAAUAUCUGAGUAAAUUUUGGAAUAGCUCUGUUUUCACAAAUUCUUUUUGUAUGUAUGUAUUCCCUACAUAAACAUGGCUGGUUGAAAGACUAUAUUAUUUUACAUGGAGGGAAUCUUAAUAGUUUUACCCAGCCUCUUCAUUUUACACAUGGAAAAAUGAGUUCAAAAAGGAGGAAAUAAUUUACCCAAUGUCUCACAGAUAAUUAUUGAAGAACUAAGGCUACCACCUCUGAAACUGACUUUAAAUUUAAUCUGCUGUUACUGAUACAUUUAUCACUCAGAGCCCCAAGACAUAAAAUAGAUACAAUAUUUUUAAAAGAACACACUUCCCAAAGGCUAUUAAUAUAAAAAACUUCCAUGUUUUAAAAAUACUAGAUAAAAUUUUAGCUAACACAUUCUAGAUAAUGAUACUUAAUAUACUUACAUAAUAACAAUACAGAACCCAACACCAUAGCAAGAAUAGCCCAUCUUCCAAGUAUUACAUUUGGUCUAACGUCUCUUGUACUUUUAUCCUUCAUUCUACACUCAGAUGGAGUUGAACAGUCACAUACUCUCACUGUUAACAUAUGUGUUGCAACUAAACCAUGCCUGUCUUUUAUUUGAAUAGGCACAGAAUAAUAGUUAUAAUCAAGAUUUUGCCGUUGACGAAGAAUGGCAGUUUUACCUAGGGAAAAAAAAGACAGAAUAUAUAUGGAUUGGCUGUUUAGAUGGCAGUAUUAUUCC
rnacentral:lncRNA from 10 species